rnacentral:rRNA from 1 species
AAUGAACGUUGGCGGCAUGGAUUAGGCAUGCAAGUCGGGGAAAUCCCAGCAAUGGGGGAACCGGCGUAAGGGGCAGUAAGGCAUGGGUACCUACCUUGGGGUUCGGGAUAGCCAUCAGAGAUGGUGGGUAAUACCGGAUGACGUCGUGAGACCAAAGAUUUAUCGCCCUUAGAGGGGCCCAUGUGAUAGUAGCUAGUUGGUGGGGUAACGGCCCACCAAGGCGAAGAUGUCUAGCGGGGGUGAGAGCACGACCCGCGCCACUCGCACUGAGACACUGGCGAGACGCGUACGGGUGGCUGCAGUCGAGGAUCGUCGGCAAUGAGCGCAAGCUUGACCGAGCGAUGCCGCGUGAGCGAUGAAGGCCUUCGGGUUGUAGAGCUCUUUAGUGGGGGAGAAAAGCCGCAAGGUGUGAUCUAUCCCAAAAAUAAGCACGGGCUAAGUUCGUGCCAGCCGCCGCCGUAA